rnacentral:rRNA from 1 species
UACGAAGGGGGCUAGCGUUGUUCGGAAUUACUGGGCGUAAAGCGCACGUAGGCGGACAUUUAAGUCAGGGGUGAAAUCCCAGAGCUCAACUCUGGAACUGCCUUUGAUACUGGGUGUCUUGAGUAUGGAAGAGGUGAGUGGAAUUCCGAGUGUAGAGGUGAAAUUCGUAGAUAUUCGGAAGAACACCAGUGGCGAAGGCGACUUACUGGACACAUAUUGACGCUGAGGUGCGAAAGCGUGGGGAGCAAACAGG